AUUCACUUUGUAAAUGAAAAACUUAGGAGCCUCUCCUUGUUUUUGUGAUUUGUGAACUAAAGUCACUGCCUGGCAGCUGAUGUGUUCUCCAGAUUGAAGCCACCAUAUUACCAGCAGAGUGAAUGUGGUUCCUCACACUGCAGUGUGGGUACUGUGCUGUCUGCCAUGGCCCCUUAAGAACUCUUCCUCUCAGUGAUUUCCCUUCCUGUGGCCACAUCCCUUUGCAGCUCCAUCUGUCAGGAGUCAGUUCAGCCCUUUAGAGCCUGCACUUGGGGGUGCCACCCCUCCCCUUGUUGCAACUGAGACCUGAGGCUCCCAGCCCACAACCAGCACCAGCUGGUGGAGAUGGGGUGAGACCAGCUUAAUCCUUUCAGUCCAGCUGACCUCGCUGACUACAGCUGCAUGAGUGAGCCCUGGCAAACCAGAAGAGAAACUACCCAGCCAACCUACAGAAUCAUAAGAAAUAAUGAAUUGUUGUUCUUUUAAGCCUUUAAGUUU